UUCCGGUUGAUCCUGCCGGAGGUCACUGCUAUUGGGAUUCGACUAAGCCAUGCGAGUCGAGAGGGUUCGGCCCUCGGCUGACUGCUCAGUAACACGUGGAUAAUCUGCCCUUAGGUGGAGGAUACUCUCGGGAAACUGAGAAUAAUACUCCAUAGGUCUAAGAUGCUGGAAUGCACUUAGGCUGAAAGUUCCGGCGCCUAAGGAUGAGUCUGCGGACUAUCAGGUUGUAGUCAGGGUAAAGACCUGACUAGCCUACGACGGAUAUGGGUUGUGGGAGCAAUAACCCAGAGAUGAUAUCUGAGACACGAUAUCAGGCCCUACGGGGCGCAGCAGGCGCGAAAACUUCACACUGCGCGAAAGCGCGAUGAGGGAAUCCCAAGUGCUUGCACGUAAGUGUAAGCUGUUUCUAUGUUUAAAAUGCAUAGAGAGUAAGGGCUGGGUAAGACGGGUGCCAGCCGCCGCGGUAAUACCUGCAGCUCAAGUGGUGAUCGCUAUUAUUGGGCCUAAAACGUUCGUAGCCGGUUUAGUAAAUGCCUGGGUAAAUUGUGUAGCUCAACUAUACGAAUUCCGGGUAGACUGCUAAACUUGAGACCGGGAGAGGCUAGAGGUACUCCUGGGGUAGAGGUGAAAUUCUGUAAUCCUAGGGGGACCACCAGUGGCGAAGGCGUCUAGCUAGAACGGGUCUGACGGUGAGGGACGAAGCCCUGGGGCGCGAACCGGAUUAGAUACCCGGGUAGUCCAGGGUGUAAACGCUGCUUGCUUGAUGUUGGUUGGGCUCCGAGCCCAAUCAGUGUCGGAGAGAAGUUGUUAAGCGAGCUGCCUGGGAAGUACGGCCGCAAGACUGAAACUUAAAGGAAUUGGCGGGGGAGCACAGCAACGGGUGGAGCGUGCGGUUUAAUUGGAUUCAACGCCGGGA
rnacentral:rRNA from 1 species